rnacentral:rRNA from 1 species
GGAUCAUUGUCGAAAUCGAACGGAAGAACGACCCGCGAAUCGUCAUUGCGUAGUAGACAGAGCCCGUGAGCACCUAACGCUCAGGGGUCUCGCGUCGCGUCGGCGCGGGUGUACUCGAGACCCGCGUCGUACCGGCGGACAAACAACGUCAGCACGGAUCGUGCCAAGGAGCUGCAUGGAGAGAAUCGUCGUCCCACGCCUUUGAUAGUCCUCGACGCGGGGCGGGGGAUGUACGCAAUCUCUACUCAAGUCUAAACGACUCUCGGCAACGGAUAUCUCGGCUCUUGCAUCGAUGAAGAACGUAGCGAAAUGCGAUACUUGGUGUGAAUUGCAGAAUCCCGUGAACCAUCAAUUCUUUGAACGCAAGUUGCGCCCGAAGCCAUUCGGCCGAGGGCACGCCUGCCUGGGCGUCGUGAAUCCCCUUGCCCCUAGGCACCCGCAUGAGCAUUUGCGGGGAUAUAUGCUCGGGCGCAGAAUAUGGUCUCCCGUGGGAUCGGCAUGCACGGCAUGUCGAGGUGCGGUUGGCCGAAAAUCGAGCAUGGCGGUGACGGGCACCACGGCGUUCGGUGGAUCGAACGAGAUUGGCUGCGUCGUGGGCUCGGCAUGCGGCGGGCUCCGGACUUUGAAUAUCCCCGAGUGCGAUCCCAGGUCAGGCGGGGCUACCCGCUGAGUUUAAGCAUAUCAAUAAGCGGAGGAAAAGAAACUAACGAGGAUUCCCUUAGUAGCGGC